AUUGAACGCUGGCGGCAUGCUUUACACAUGCAAGUCGAACGGUAACAGGCCGCAAGGUGCUGACGAGUGGCGAACGGGUGAGUAAUGCGUCGGAACGUGCCCAGUCGUGGGGGAUAACUACUCGAAAGAGUAGCUAAUACCGCAUACGAUCUAUGGAUGAAAGCGGGGGACCGUAAGGCCUCGCGCGAUUGGAGCGGCCGAUGUCAGAUUAGGUAGUUGGUGGGGUAAAGGCUCACCAAGCCAACGAUCUGUAGCUGGUCUGAGAGGACGACCAGCCACACUGGGACUGAGACACGGCCCAGACUCCUACGGGAGGCAGCAGUGGGGAAUUUUGGACAAAGGGCGCAAGCCUGAUCCAGCAAUGCCGCGUGCAGGAAGAAGGCCUUCGGGUUGUAAACUGCUUUUGUACGGAACGAAACGGCUCUGGUUAAUACCCGGGGCUAAUGACGGUACCGUAAGAAUAAGCACCGGCUAACUACGUG
rnacentral:rRNA from 1 species